UACAGAGGGGGCAAGCGUUGUUCGGAAUUACUGGGCGUAAAGGGCGCGUAGGCGGCCUUCUAAGUCGAACGUGAAAUCCCCGGGCUCAACCCGGGAACUGCGUCCGAUACUGGAAGGCUUGAAUCCGGGAGAGGGAUGCGGAAUUCCAGGUGUAGCGGUGAAAUGCGUAGAUAUCGGAAGGAACAUCAGUGGCGAAAGCGGCUUCCUGGACCAGCACCGACGUUCAGGCACGAAAGCGUGGGGAGCAAACAGG
rnacentral:rRNA from 1 species